rnacentral:tRNA from 1 species
GCCCAGAUGGCGGAAUUGGCAGACGCGCUAGACUCAAAAUCUGGUUCCUUCGGGAGUGUGGGUUCGAGGCCCACUCUGGGUACCA